GUCCGCCGGCCCCCCUCCGGUGGCGGGGAGAGCAGCUCGCAGCGCGGCCGCCACGGCCGCUACACAUCUGUGUGCGGCGGGCGUGGCCAUCGGCGUUGGAGGACUCCAGGUCCCAUGGUGCACCGCUGCCGGAAGUGCGGGCGCGCUUUCUGUGCCGGCGCACGCGGCCGACUGGCUCGCGGGUAGUUCCGGGCCGCUAGGACCGUGGGGACCCCUGCAUUCCCGCGCGGCCAGGCCAGUGAAGUGGGCGAGCCCGGCCCGAUCUCCCACUGCGGAGCCGAGCGGCCUCCCUGCGGGGCCGUGUGGACCCUGAACUGACCUCUGUGUCCAUGUGCCACCGGCUCACUACACGGUGUUCGGGACCCGCUGCCGGUCGGCGGGCCGAGGAGGAGCAGGCCCGCCCUUGCUUCUCCGGAACAGGAGUUCAGAAGAGAAGCGCAGACACACAGGGCAAAUAAGCGAGGCGGCCCAGGCUGACAUAAGCCUGGGGGGACGAGGCGGCCCUGAGAACUGGGGCGAAGGCCCCGCGGAGGCCGGGGUUUACCAUUGUUAACAUCCAAGGCAGUCGCAUAUGGGUCCACUUACAUUACACAACCGUCACCGCCGUCCGUCCAGACCGUCUUCCUUCGUCCCAAGUUGGAUUAAACAGCAGUUCUCUGCUCCCCCUUCCUCCAGUCGCUGGCACCCACCAUUUUCAUUUUUGUCUCUGAAUUCUGACCACCCUGGGGACCUUGUAUUAGUGGAAGCACGUGAUAUUUGCCCUUUUAGAUCUGACAUUUCAUUUAACAAUGUUCUCAAAGUGCAUCCGUA